CCUACGGGUGGCAGCAGUGGGGGAUAUUGCACAAUGGGGGGAACCCUGAUGCAGCGACGCCGCGUGGGUGAAGAAGCGCCUCGGCGCGUAAAGCCCUGUCAGCAGGGAAGAAAAUGACGGUACCUGAAGCAGAAGCACCGGCUAACUACGUGCCAGCAGCCGCGGUAAUAAGUAGGGGGCAAGCGUUAUCCGGAUUUACUGGGUGUAAAGGGGGCGCAGACGGCGAUGCAGGCAAGGAGUGAAAGCCCGGGGCCCAACCCCGGGACUGCUCUUGGAACUGCGUGGCUGGAGUGAAGGAGGGGCAGGCGGAAUGCCUGGUGUAGCGGUGAAAUGCGUAGAUAUCAGGAGGAACACCGGUGGCGAAGGCGGCCUGCUGGACUGCAACUGACGUUGAGGCCCGAAAGCGUGGGGAGCAAACAGGAUUAGAUACCCCAGUAGUC
rnacentral:rRNA from 1 species